UAAUCCUUCUUCUUGUUACCUCGUAAACAGUAAAAGAGACCUCAACUGGUCCAUUUUUGUAAACUUCCGCCAUGAUACUCUGGGGAUCAUGGCUGACCCUGUAUGCAUUGACACCGUAGUGCUUUGAUUUCCUCCACAACACGUUCCCCUUGACACACUUCCUAUGACAUUUUGGAGUGGGGUAUAGCGGUUCGCAACCAGGGUGGGAACAUCCAGUAGUGUCGAAGUAAGGAUCACACUGCCAUCAUAUGCUCAAUUUGUUAGUGAUUGAUCGUAAAGAGCCAUACUACUCUAGAUGGUUUUACAGAAAGCUGUAGUUUUACUGAGGUGACAAUAAGUCACCAUUUACCUCUUCUGUGACCACUCCCCUACGUUUAAAGUAUCGCCAUGCUGCUAUAGGAUAUCCACCAUCACAACCACUCCCGCAUAAAAAGCCACAGCACGCUAACAGAUCAUUUGCAGACAGAGAGAUACUCUGCAUUACACAUUAAAAGUUAACAUCAGUAACUGUAACUACAGUCAAACUAAACAAGUUUGUGUGCUAAGAUGAGGUGGUGGUUACGUGCUUGGCUCAUAGUCAUGACAUAGAAUUAGGCUCACACAUGAGAGGGCGUGCUGAAUUAGGCUUGUGAAAUGUAUCAUUUCUAACAGUUUAAAUUAGGCAGUCACAUAGUUCAACAGAACUUACCAAAUUAUAAUGGAUACAGAAACGAUCAGACAGUGACUCAACAGCACCAAAAGCCCAACAAGAACCGCAAUGUCCCUGAAAAAUAUAGGAUUAGAUCACUAGAGAGAACCUGCAAUGUGCCAUUUAGCACAUUUAAUAGAAAGAAACUAGACCAGUAGCAGAAAAUCACCUGAUCUGUGAUGCAAAUUUGUCCCAGUGAUUGAUGUGCAAAGAUGAAAAACAUUAGAAUCUCUAUUAUAGAAUUAUAGCUAGAAAGGACGGAGCAAGGAAGUGAAAUGACUGACCCAGAAUUUUUCCAAUUGUGCUGCAUUGAGGCCAAGCCUUUCGUGCAUCAAACUCUUUUGGCAACUCCUUAAGUCUUGGAUGAGUUAGAACAGGAAUUCCCUCCAAAUCACCUUCUCUUGCAGGCUUAACUCCAAGAAGGCGCUUAAAUUGGGAAACCUGUGACAACCAAAUAUCGACAUAAUUAUAAAUGCAUGUUUUCGGUGUAUAGCUGCAAAAUCGAAUGGGGAAGUAUGAAACAUCCCACUAAAAGAAAAUGCAACUGUCACUGGUUAACAUCAUGUCAUAUGUUCAAGGUUACUGAUCCCACUUUUUACAGGAAAUUAGGGGUAGUUAUCUUACUUUUACACUGUUAGCGUUUAGAAGUUUUAAUAUUUAGCUAUAUGAUGGUCUCACCGUGAAAUUCGAUAAUUGAGGGUUGAAUGCAGCUUUCCAUCCAGCUUCAGCAUUCUCAUUGACUUGUUUGAUGAUUGAGUCCUACAUGAUCAUCCAAAAAUUAAAGUGUUUCAGUUUUAAAUUCGACCUGAGCACAAUGACAAUAACAUCUUCCUGAAUCAUGAACAAAAGAGCAUACUUGAAGGAUUGCAGAUUCAAGUUUAGCUUCAGAUAUUGGCUUCUCUGCAGCAACCUGCUUUCAAGAAGAAGACAGCAUUACAAUACUCUUAGCCUGAAUUUUUCUGUAUGAACAAAAUAUGUAGCUAAUACAUCAUACAACUAAAACACUACAACAUGGGUGAAAUUACGACUAAAUAUAAAGCAAACAGAAGUUGUAACUAGUAAAUUAUUUCUCCUCUUCUUUCCCCUUUUGUAUUUAUUUGUGAAGCAAUACUUCCUCUCAUGUAGACUCAUGUAUAUAUAGAAGACAUAAUAUAUAAAUAGACACUCAUAAUAUAUAAACAGACACUCAAACACGGCCUCAACUGACAAGGGAGCACUCCAAUUUGAAAGUGCAUAUUUAGACAACUCAACUUGGUCUCAACUGACAACAAAACAGUCCAACCCAUUGCGUCUCGUGGACAUCUGACAUGACACAUGAGUUUUGGAGGCGUCCAGAUGAUCAUUUUGUAAGUUGGAGUUUUCAACUAACACAUUGGAGACGAGUUGAAGUGUCCAGAUGUACAUACUCAAAGUUAGAGUGCUUAGUUGCCGGGACCAAGUUUGAAUGUAUGUUUAUAUAUAUAAAGACUAUAUAGGAACAUGUAAGUUAACUAAUACAUAAGAAUUUCUCAUCAAACCAUAUACUGAAGCUGCAAAAACAUGUCUCUACUUUUUUUUUCCAUUAUGUAAUCAGAAAAUCAUUAAAAUUCAUUUAUGUUCAUUAUUUCAAGUCAAAGUCAAACUAAAGCAUAUGAAGUCCAAAUUACUCAACAAUCUUUGAUCUUUCUCAAGAAAUAGCAAAAGGCUAUUCCAUGUAAUCAUCAAAAACUAAUAAUCUAAACCAUGGCCCCGGCCCCGAGGGUCUAUUAGAAACAGUCUUUUUAUCUCACAAAUGACACAAGGUCGAAGUUACAUCCUAUCUUAUCCUACUCUCCCCACACUCUACUCGUGGAAUCACACUAGUAUGUUGUUGUUUAUGAAAAAUUCAUUCAAUCUAGUUCAAAUGAUUUAUCUAAAACCCAAUAAACUCAAAAUUCUAGCUACGUCUCUGAUCUAAACAAGACCAUCAAUUUAAUAAGUAAGAACAACCCACAAAAGAUCAUAAAAGAUAGUACUAUAGACAUGUUCAUUAAAAUUGAAGAAACAAACCUGUAAGAUCAGGAUAAAGAAAGCACCCAAAAGCAAAGGAGUUAUUAAAGACUCCAAAGUCAAGGCCAUCUUUUUUUUUUCCUUUAAAGCUUUCCAAUUGUGUUGUGGAAAUGGAGGAAUCUCAAAGGUAUUUAUAAAAUAAAGAGGAAAAAAAGAAAGAGAGAAUAACAACCAAUUUUAUUGGCCCAUUCUCUGACAAUAUAUAAAAAAAAAAUGGCUUUAUUAAACAAGAAGAUGAUGUCUACUUGUGGUUGGUUUUAUAAGAUAUUUUUUUGGAUUAAAGAAUUUUGAGUGUUUUACCUUUCCCAAAAGUCUAGUUCAACUUGGUAUGUUAGGUAUUCCAGUUGGACUAUUUCACAAGCAAUACUGCCCCACCCUACGGUGGAUAAGAAAUAGGUUAUUCAUGUGAAUACGAUGUUUGGUUAACAAUUUAGAAACUCGUUAUGAAUUGUAUAAUGCACGAUAUAAAAUGAAAUAACUCAUACUUAUAUAACUAAUCUUUGCCUAAUGAAUACCCGUAUAUACAUAAAUUCUUUCACAACUAAUCUCUAUAUUACUAAUACUUGCAUAAUUUUAACUAGCUACCAAAUGACUCUAAAAAAAUUCUUUAUAUAAUAAAAAUCUUAUAAGUUAAAUAUAUAUAUUUUUUUUAUAGAAAUUUUGAAGUCUCCAUGUCAGAUUGCUUGAGGAAACAGACUUUACAUGUGCAACCACAGUCGAUAUUCAUAUUUAAUUUAAUUGCAGUAACAAGCAGGAUAAACAAUUUGAGAAAGUAAAUGAAACGUAAAAAUUAAUUUGAAAAUUGGAGUGAUAUUGUAUUGUUGAAGUAUAAUUAUAUUAUUCCAAAUCAAUCAAUAUAGUGAAAUUGCAAGGGAUAACAUUAGUUUUGGACCUAUAUGUAAUUGUGAUGUGACAAAAUCAUAAUAGAAUUUGAUUAAGUCACGUUUCAUCCGAAGCCAGUGAUAUUACAAAGUAAAAUUCAAACUAAUUUUUUGUUUAGAUUUUCUUUUUGUUUAGUCAGGUGUACAAUUUUCCUCCACAAAGUGUGCAAAAAACUACUUCUGUCGUGUCAAAUUAAUUGUCAUAUUUCGUUAAAUUUCUAUCAAUAAUUUAAAAUGUUAUUUUUCAUCAAAUUAUCGCCCUUACUUUUCAUCUCUUUUUCUACUAGUAAUGUUUUUUUUCUUUUCCUCUUUCUUUUGAUUGAUUGAGAAAGAUCUAAAUAAAUAUCAUAUCUUUCGAAAAUUAUACGUAAUUUUGUUUUCUCAAACGCAUCUUGUAUUCUUGUUUAUUUUCUAUAUAAUAAAUAAUGAUAGUGAGUAGAAAUAACUCUUUUAAGUUUAUAGAAGGUGAACACCUUUUGUCUAAUUUAACUAUAGAUUCUAUAAAGAGCUAAAUCUUUUUGUAGGAAAACUUAUUUAUAGAGGUGUUGCAUCGGAUGUUCCCCUUUCUUUAAAAAGAAAAAUUAGGGCUAGGAAGGAAAAAUAAGGAGGUGAUUAUAAGGUAGAGAAUCGUACACUCAUCAAUAAGAUAAAUUUAUGUAACUAAUCAACUGAGAUAUUAAAAUUCUCCUUAUUAAAUGUUACUCAAUAAAGGAACAAUUAUGUUUUUUGAAUUUCUCACAAGAUAGACAAAUAUCCACAUUAUUGAGGCCUGACUUAAUCUAGAUUCAAGUAAUUUAUAGUGGAAACUUUGAAUUGUACAUCUAAUUAAAUCCACAAGAUGAAAAUGCAAUUUAGGUGUCAUUUGGUAAAAUACAUUAGAAAAAAUAAUGCAUGCAUUAACAAUAUGUGUAUUAUUAGUAUCAUGUUUCAUAGUACAUUUUUCCACCCUAUGUAUAACUAAUUCAAUACUUUAUUUGUCUCUCAAAACUUUUUCCAUGUCCUUUCUACCAUGUUUGUGGAUGGUAUUUUUGUACACAAAUAAUUUAUUUUAGAAAGUAUACAAUGCAUGUUAUUUUAAAUGCACCAAAAAUAAUCUUAUCAUAACCAAUACAAUCAUAACUAAUACUAUCAUUAGUAAUGUAAACAUUACUAAUACAUCAUAUUCAACUUUAUUCUUAUACACAUUACCAAAGGACUCCAUAAAUUGCAUAGAUUUGGUAGUAGUAUUAUUUAGGUGUCCUGUUGAUGAAGUAGCAUUUUACAUUGAUACAUUAAGGAAAUCAUCAUCAAGUUCCACAUUUAGAUUUCUUGCUGAAGGCAAUCCUGCAACUGUAUUAGAUUCAAUGUCACACUCAUUUGUUCCUCUUCUGAUCUUGAAGUACCCAUCCUGGCAUACACACACAAACACACUAAGGCAAAAAACUUAUAGAAAUAUAAUACUACUAACUUUUUCGCUCAUGUAAAUUGGGAGUUGAUUUCUCAUAUAGUCACUCAACUAGCCACUAUUAUCUCAAGAAGUCGCUUUCAUAUGAGAUAAUAAGUAUUAGUUGAGUGACCAUCUGAGAAAUCAACCGUAUAAACUCAAUAAGGACAUACAUCACCCCAGCUUUUGUUCCAAGAAUUCACAAGAAGCUGCAGAAAAAAAGAAGAAGAUGAUGAUUAACUAUUGAUAAGUUAACAUAAUCUUAAGUAGAUACUAAUAGUUACAACAUACCCAAUAGUCCUCUCCUUCCUCACUAGUUCCCCAUCCGAUGAGCUUAACAGCAUGGCCUCCGAUAUACUCCCCUGUUACGUGCUUGUAAACUCCUGACUUGUAGUGAGCAAAAUCCUGUGAUCGACGAAAAACUUCAACAAAUUAAUCCUUAUUCUAGGAAAGGAAAAUAUUAACCCUUACAUAACCAAGUAACUUAUGUUACUGCUCUGUGCUAAGCAAUCUACAUUGUACCUAAAAGUAUUUCGCCAGUAAAUACCACACAAUGUUCACAGAAUAUACAAAUACUUAUCAUUCAUUCUUACCUCAUAAACAUUUAAAGCAACCUCAACUGGUCCAUUUUUGUAAACUUCUGUCAUGAUACUGUAUGGAUCGGAGCUGAUCAUGUAUGCAUUCACACCGAAAUGCUUGGACUUACUCCAGAGUAGAUUCUCCUUAACACACUUCCUGUUGCACUGUGGGGUGGGAUAUAUAGGUUCACAACCAGGGUGGGAACAUCCAAUAUUAUCGAAGUAAG
rnacentral:lncRNA from 1 species